AUUGAACGCUGGCGGCAGGCUUAACACAUGCAAGUCGAGCGGUAACAGAGAGAAGCUUGCUUUUCUGCUGACGAGCGGCGGACGGGUGAGUAAUGCCUAGGAAUCUGCCUAGUAGUGGGGGAUAACUUGCCGAAAGGUAAGCUAAUACCGCAUACGUCCUACGGGAGAAAGGAGGGGACCUUCGGGCCUUUCGCUAUUAGAUGAGCCUAGGUCGGAUUAGUUAGUUGGUGAGGUAAUGGCUCACCAAGACCGCGAUCCGUAACUGGUCUGAGAGGAUGAUCAGUCACACUGGAACUGAGACACGGUCCAGACUCCUACGGGAGGCAGCAGUGGGGAAUAUUGGACAAUGGGGGGAACCCUGAUCCAGCCAUGCCGCGUGUGUGAAGAAGGUCUUAGGAUUGUAAAGCACUUUAAGUUGGGAGGAAGAGCAGUUAACUAAUAUUUGACUGUUUUGACGUUACCGACAGAAUAAGCACCGGCUAACUUCGUGCCAGCAGCCGCCGUAACAC
rnacentral:rRNA from 1 species